rnacentral:rRNA from 1 species
GACGAACGCUGGCGGCGUGCUUAACACAUGCAAGUCGAACGGAAAGGCCCUGCUAUUGUGGGGUGCUCGAGUGGCGAACGGGUGCGUAACACGUGAGUAACCUGCCCUUGACUUUGGGAUAACUUCAGGAAACUGGGGCUAAUACCGGAUAGGAGCCGCUGCUGCAGGGAGGGGAUUGGAACGUUUCGGCGGGUGGGGAUGGACUCGCGGCUGAUCAGCUUGUUGGUUGGGUAGUGGCUUACCAAGGCUUUGACGGGUAGGCGGCAUGGGAGGGUGGCCGGCGACAUUAGGCCUGCGAUACGGCGCAGACUCGAACGUGAGGCAGCAGUGGGGAGUCUUGCACAGUGGGCGGACGCCUGAUGAAGCAACGCCGCGGGUGGGAUGACGGCCUUCGGGUUGUAAACCGCUUUCGCUUGUGACGAAGCGUGAGUGACGGUAAUGGGUGAAGAAGCACCGGCUAACUACGUG